CGGGGCGUAGCGCAGCCUGGUAGCGCACUGGCAUGGGGGGCCAGUGGUCCGGGGUUCAAAUCCCCGCGCCCCGA
rnacentral:tRNA from 1 species